CACGUAGGGUGCGAGCGUUGUCCGGAAUCAUUGGGCGUAAAGAGCGUGUAGGCGGCCCGGUAAGUCCGCUGUGAAAGUCCAGGGCUCAACCCUGGGAUGCCGGUGGAUACUGUCGGGCUCGAGUCCGGAAGAGGAGUGUGGAAUUCCUGGUGUAGCGGUGAAAUGCGCAGAUAUCAGGAGGAACACCAAUGGCGAAGGCAGCACUCUGGGACGUGACUGACGCUGAGACGCGAAAGCGUGGGGAGCAAACAGG
rnacentral:rRNA from 1 species